AUUGAACGCUGGCGGCAGGCCUAACACAUGCAAGUCGAACGAGUGGCGGACGCGUGAGUAAUGUCUGGGACACUGUCUGAUGGAGGGGGAUAACUACUGGAAACGGUAGCUAAUACCGCAUACCAUCGGAUGUUCCCUGAUGGGAUUAGCUAGUAGGUGGGGUAAAGGCUCACCUCGGCGACGCUCCCUAGCUGGUCUGAGAGGAUGACCGGCCACACGGGAACUGGGAAACGGUCCAGACUCCAACGGGAGGAAGCAGUGGGGAAUAGUGCACAAGGGGCGAAAGCCUGAUGAAGCCAUGCCGCGUGGAUGAAGAGGGCCUUCGGGUUGUAAAGUAUUUUGAGCGGGGAGACGGUACCCGCAGAAGAAGCGCCGGCUAACUACGUGCCAGCAGCCGCGGUAAUUC
rnacentral:rRNA from 1 species